rnacentral:rRNA from 1 species
GGCAAGCGUUAUCCGGAUUUAUUGGGCGUAAAGAGAACGCAGGCGGUCUUUUAAGUCUGAUGUGAAACGCAUGAGCUCAACUCAUGCAUGGCUUUGGAAACUGGAGGACUGGAGAGCAGGAGAGGGCGGUGGAACUCCAUGUGUAGCGGUAAAAUGCGUAGAUAUAUGGAAGAACACCAGUGGCGAAGGCGGCCGCCUGGCCUGUUGCUGACGCUGAGGCACGAAAGCGUGGGGAGCAAAUAGG